UACGUAGGGGGCAAGCGUUGUCCGGAAUCAUUGGGCGUAAAGAGCGUGUAGGCGGUUCGGUAAGUCCGCUGUAAAAGUCCAGGGCUCAACCCUGGAAAGCCGGUGGAAACUGUCGAACUAGAGUCCGGAAGAGGCGAGUGGAAUUCCUGGUGUAGCGGUGAAAUGCGCAGGAUAUCAGGAGGAACACCAAUGGCGAAGGCAGCUCGCUGGGACGGUACUGACGCUGAGACGCGAAAGCGUGGGGAGCAAACAGGAUUGAGAA
rnacentral:rRNA from 1 species